ACAGUGGUGGUUCAGUGGUAGAACUCUCGCCUUGCAUGUGGGAAACUUGGGUUCAAUUCCCAGCCAAUGUG
rnacentral:tRNA from 1 species